rnacentral:tRNA from 1 species
GGAGGCAUUGCUCAGUGAUAGAGCACCUGCUUAGCAAGCAUGAGGCCCUGAGCUCCAAUCUCAGUAUUGCCA